CGCUUCGAUGAUCUAGGAGAACAUUAGCCACAAAGGCAUGAACAUCCUCCGUGCCUUGAAGUUCAUCCUCGCUAGCACCGAUCCGUCUAGCAGAACCACCGCGACGGCGGCGAACACGUACUGAAACCACACCAUUGUCGCUGUGGGGUGGAACGGUUCUAUCUUCGGUGUCUCCAGGUGCCUGUUCUUGCAAAAAUGCGGCGUCGCCGGCAGCACUGCUUGAUGGAUCAGAAACUUUUGGCCUAAUAUGAAUAGCUACAAGAGUAAUGCGGCCCACUUCUUCUUCACUAUGCUUCCGUACAGAAUCACAAGCCCUGUCAUGCUUUGAAUACCUACCAGAGUCGCUGAGAUCAUCUACCACGCGUUGUCCCCUUUGUUCAGUCGGUCCGGUUAAGGCGAGACUCGUCCCUGCCUGAUACGCCAUGGGUGGUGGAGUCUCUCACACCCCUCUCAGUGAAGGAAAUUGUUGUUGUUUUAUCGAGAAGCAGAGCCAAAGCUCUCCGUGUAGAGAGGCAUGGACUUGGGUGUCAACUCAACAGAGAACUGCCACAAAUGUUGGAAUUACACCCAGCAUAAGAAGUGUGAUGAAAAUUUAGGUUAAAGUAAUAAAUUCCAAGGUAAUUAAGGUUUUCUCAUUGCCAUUUUUCCAAUUCCUCAUGUUUUAGAGCCAUUAUUAUUAAUUCAACUUAUUUUUCCCUUUAUGAUUUUUUCCUGCAUUGCUACUUAUUUUCCUCCCCUUAAUUUGAGUAUCAAAUCAAAAAUUGGGUAAAUUUGAUAGCUUUAUUAGCAGGUAUCAAUGAAUAUGGAAUAGUAGAGAAAGAAUCUCUGUAAGUUCCUUCUGCUUGUAAUUUCCUUGCAAUUUUACUAGGUAUGUCGAUACUCUUGAUCAAUGAUGUCUCUAUAUAUAGUUUGAAGAAGUUUAUGUAUCUUUACUUGAACUUUUGUGCUCAACAAAAUGUUGAACAGGUCUUUUUGUUUUCUUUGUUUUUUUUUUUUUUCCAUUUUUGAUUGCAAUCGUGGGUUAUCAUAUAAGUUAUUAGUAUUACUGUGACUAAAAGAUUGGUCUAUCAUGUAUGACAAAAUGAGAGGAGUAUAUGUGUUUCUGAAGCUUGCUAUACUGCUAUAACAAAACUUUUCAUUACUUAUGAUUCAAUUUGCUACUUGAUCUUUCAUAUUUUUCAGUUGAAAGGUUCUUAUAAAAAAUCUUGGCAGGUCACUUUCUAUGUUUUGUUGAAAAACGAUUUUUAUGCUAGAACAUAUUUGACUAUUUAUAAACCACCAACUUUCAUCUAUUUAACUUUCUAUCACUUGCCUCUAUUACUCUAAGCAUAUCACAGUUCUUCUCAUUUCAAAUCCACACCUCCGAAUAGCCUCUCUUUUCUCCCAUUUCAAAAAAUUAUUGGCAGUAUGUUUUAUUGCAAAGCUUUGCCCAAUAUUGUAACGCAAUUAGAUUUAUAGGAACAUAAAAUUGAAUUUGCAGUCAAGUUUGUGGGCAAGUUAUUUGAAUGGAUUGGUGCAACAACACUUGGAAUAAUGUCCCCUUCAAAAUAUUGGAAGAAUAUCCCAUUGUCUAAGAUGCAAUUGUCCCCAUUGGAAAUAUACUGAAGACAUUCUCUUAAUGUUUGUUUGUCUUCCAGAGAGUCUUGGACCUAAAGAGGAACGAGAGAUGGAGGAUUCAGUCAAUUUUGUCUUGGAUUUUAUGUUUUCUAAUUCUUCUAUUGGUUAAGCCCACCACCAACAGUGAAAAGCAAUGUGAACUUCCUUUAUCUGAUGAUACUCAAAAGAUGUGCUAAACAUGUUGGUCCCUUGAUUUUGUCAAGCUGUCAUUUCAUUUCAUAAUGCCAAACAAAGAUUCCAUGAACAUAGGUUCCUUCAUAUGGUUUUGCUUAGCACAUUUUCAUUAUAUUGCGCCCCUCUUCACUUUAUUCUGUUUUAUUGAAUAUAGUGCAGGUGUUUUUUUGGGUUUGAAAUCAGAUUGGAAGAGAUUGGUAUAUAAAAGGCCCUUGACAUAUCCACGCGAAAGAAGUUGGAGAGAGGCAUAGUCAGCCCGGGAGUUCGAGGACGUUCUUCUACAUUGUAAGAAGCUCAAGAUUUAUUUGGUGAUGUUGAUGAGUUAACUACAGUCGUGCAAGCUUUGGAACUACUUGAAUUGAAUAUAGAGACUAGCCUUGAAGAUUAAGUUUGAGCCUUUUUUUUUUUUUUUUAAGAUACAUGACACAGAUGAUCGAAUUAGCCUAUGAGGCAGCUUAAUAUUCUUGAAAGAAUGCAAAUCUUCUGAGAUAUGCAUAGGAAGAUUGUUUGUUGGAUAACUAAGGUAUCUAAUUUAAAACAUUGAUUUUCCAGUUGAUAUCAAAGGAAACCGCAGGGUGUGCUCCACUAGAUGCAAGUGGUAUAGUGUAUGGAAGAGGAGAGUAAUUUACAUGCUUGAAUGACUAAAAAAGGAAUUAUGGUUUUUUCGAUUGAUGAUAAAGAUGAUGGCAAUUUAUGAAUUGUCUCUCAUAAUAUCAUCAGAUUUUUGGAAUUGCAUCAUGUCCAGGAAUUAAAUUUUGAUAUCUUUCUUAUUUAUGAAAUCAAUA